UCCCAGUGAUGACCACUGCAGGGAACAGGAGCGCACGGUCUAUCUGAGGACAUGGGCAGCUGCAGCAACUUGGCAUUGCUGCCUGAGUGAUCGGUAUAUCUGUGAGAGGACACCCCUGCUACCAGGAGGCAGAAAGUGUGAGGAGGCAGAGCUAUGCCGUUUGCUUGAUUCCCAUCACAGACUUGCAGCUAAAUCGCCCAUCCAGAAACGUGCCUCAGAGCCUGAACCUGCGGUGCCACCUGGAUCUCUGCAACCGGCUGGUACCUUCAGGUAACUUCAUCAUCAGAAAAGGAGACGGCAGGAUGGGCACAGGCGUGCCCUCUCCAAAGUGAGACCCAGCUUGAGAAGAAGGGCUGAGGAACAAUUCUACUCCCUCUUUUUCUUGUGUAGAAAGUACACUUGUGAGUAAUAUGAACUCAAGUCCCUUCGCCUAAGCAGCAGCACACCAGGCUCCCGGGUUAAUAACCUGCUCCUCGGCUGUUAUGCAGAGGACAGGCACAUUUCAGUUGUGGAGCUUUUAGGCUCGCACUUAAGUGUAGUCACUUGACUUCCUAACCCCAAUGUAACUUGCUCCUCAUUCUUGAUGUAAAACAUGAAGAAAGAUGGAAAAGACUCUUUGGAGAAAUCCAUGGAGCAACACUGCACAAGACAAGUACUGAUGGGACAUCAAAGAGCACCAGAAAAACAGUUGCAGCAGCCAACAGGAGGUCCAAAUGUGUAGACAACAGAGAGCAUGGAUGAGGCAAAAAGCACAGACGCUAUGCACAGCUCAUAAGAAAGUAUCAACAGAAUUUCACAAUGUUGUUUACUUUAUUCAUUUAAAAUCUGUUCUGUUUUCAUGCUAGAUUAGUAAGCCUUUGCCAAACCUCUGCUUCCCAUGGGGCUGUCUGCUGGUUGGGUCAGUUUAUUGUUCACUCAGAUAUUUGGGUUACCCAGAGCCAGUGGAGAGAUCUGGAAAUGGUCCUUUUUGCACGUAAAGAAGAAAUACAAGAGCUGCUGUUGAUUAGUUCACAUUCUGACUGCACAUUUUUACACCCAGCUUGAUAUGUUGAAUGUUCUCAGCAUGAUUCAUCCAGAAAAAUAGCAAUUUAAUGCACAAGGGCAUGUUGGAGCGGGCAGAAACAUUUCAUGGAAACAAAGAUUUAGCCAGAGGACUUAAAUAUCAACAUACAGAAAAUUAUCUGGCUUUGGCUGGAAGAAUACUUUCACAGGCUAGGAUUCUCAAAAGGAUAAAAAGGGAAGCAGGCACCCACAUCACACUGAAGUUUUUCAAAGCCCUUUCUAAAAUCCUGUCCUGGAAUGUGACUCAGACAAGAGUAAUGGAUCUGAUCCAAACACACGUAAAGUCAGCAUAACCUCAAUGUGGAAUCACAGAAAAUCAGGGAAAGAAAAUACCUCAUAUGAAGUAGUCUGAUUUAUCCUAUCCCCCUGCCCUGGGCAAGAUCAUCUAUACCUAAAUCAUUCAUGACAGAUUUGUCUACUGUGUUUUUAAAGACCUCCAAAGACAGAAACUCCAGUAUUUCCAUUUAGAACUCUACUGUUAGAAAGCUUUUCGCUAUUCUUUAACCUAUAUCUUUCUUCCUGUAGUGCGAGAUCAAAAGAUCCUAUGAAAUAAACCAUGGGCUUUUAGGAAAGACUAUUUCUGUCCUUUUUACAGCUUGAUCCUGCCCUCCUGCAUACUUGAGGAUCACCCCUAUGUGGCCCAAAGUCUUCUCCUCUAAAAGCUGAAACAUGUAACACAAUUAGCUCUUACCU